CUGUAGGGCUUCGUGGCACUCCACCGCUAAUCUCUGCUCUUUGAGAGCGCGGCAGGAAAACUUCGCGGCCACCGCACUAGGAAUUUUCGCUAAAAGCCGGUCGCGAGAUCGCCCCGUGGCCGGCGUUCCGCAAUUCUAUUUUUGCCCAGUUGCCCUUCGAUCGUUCUGUCGUUCGAGUUAUUACGUGAAAUCAAGCUCCGCCCCUUCCCCCUCCUUCUCUCGCGUUUGUUUGUUUGUUGGUCAUCUUAUCCGACAGUUCGACAGUUCGGCUCGUUCGUCGGUCCUCUCUGGCAGUUCGGCUUGUUCGAUUUUCUUCCUUUAUCUACCCAUCAAAACGAAGACCUGUCCAUCGGUCUCCUUCCUUUUCCAUCCUCUCCCUCAAAGCUGCGCAGCCCAUCGAAAGGUCGUUGUGACCUCUGUGGAUCGAGCGUUUUAUGCCGGAAAAGAAAUUGCAAUCGAUCUCUUUGGUCAGUGGACACCUUCGACCGUGGAGAUCGAAGAAGAUUGUGUUUGUCUCUGCAGCGAAAACACUUCCAUAAAUCCUUUCUAGAACAUCUUAGUCAGCCUUCCAAAACCAAAAGGUGAGGAGUUCAAGAAAUACUUCAGCUUACGUGCUCUGAAGGAUUCAAGGAUUGGUAACUAUUUAUAUUUCAUCUUGGUGUAUAACAGGUUGCAAAUGAAGAACACUGGGAUCGACUCAAGAAGGAUUGGAAAAUUUGGAAGGAAUUGAAACGAGAAUCAACAGGCUUGGGUUGGGAUCCUGCGAAACGAACAAUUGAUGCUUCAGAUAAGUGGUGGGCUGAAAGACUUACGGUGGUGCUGGGAGCAAAGAAGUACAAAUUUUGUGGCAUUGAACCCGAGUUUGAGGAGAAGCUCAACCGAAUGUUUGAGGGUGUCAUCGCAACACGCAAAUAUGCAUGUGCUCCAAGUGAUACAAGGAUUUGUGGUACCCCUGAGAAUGUGUCUGUCAACCUAGCUUGUGAUUCACCCGAUCUCGACAGCCCGGAAAUCCCUGAAAUCAACACAAGAAACUUUUCUAAGCGUCAUCGUGUAGAGGGUAAAAAAAAGGGUGGAGAUCACUUCCUAAGCUUAAAAAAAAGCUUAAAAAACUUUUCUAAGCUUUUAGAAAUUUGAGUGUUAUAAAUGUAAGUUUUUUAUGGAGGGGAAUUCAGUUGUGAAACAUCUGAAAUGUUCCAUACAUUUGAUAUGCUUUCAAAAAUUUUCAUUCAGUUUGAAGGUAGCUAUUGUUUAUUCUGUAGAGUUCCUUUGUUUCCUCUCA